AUGGCACCGUGCCUGCCCUUGCGUGGCCCCGGUAGAACCGCGUUCCCCUGGGCCUCAGGAGCCCAGGGAAGGAGGUCCCGGCACCAGCUGCAGCUCCGUGCCCUCACUGGGGCCGGCGCGGUGCAGCAGGCCCGUGGGCUGUGCCCGGCCCCGCCGCUGCCUCGCCCCCUUCCCUCUGGCCGGGGGGGGGGGGCGUGGCUCGCCUGCGCAGUAGCCGCAGCACUGGGCUGCGCCGUUGGCCUGUUGCCCGGCGCGCAUGCGCACCACGCGACCGCUGGGGCCGCUGUGGGCGCAGGCGCGGCUCCGCCCCGCGUUCUCGCGAGAGGCCGGGAUUUAUUCCUACGUGCUGUGCCGUGCUGCUCAUGGCGGCGCUGGAGCGGGGGCGCUGAGCUGUUGGGUAUGAAGUGGAACAGAACAGAAUUUACCACCUGAAACUGCUGCUUCAAGUUCAGAUCAGGAAAAGAAUAUACCACAUCGUAACAACAACUCAAGACCAAAGAAGAGGAAACUUACACUGAAGAUACAAGGCUUGAUCUGAAACCAGAAGUUUGUGCCUACUCAACAGCUUCAAAAGAGCACGUCCCAACGCUGCUAAUAGUCUUUGUUUUCUCCAGUGCUGUAUUGAAACUGCCCAGGGCAGCAGCACUUGUAUUCUUUAUUAGCUCGAUAGAUCACUUUCUCUUGCGUGCUCUCUCUCUCUGUCAAAUAAUAGCAGUCUUCAUCCUUUGAAACUUCGUGCUGAAACAGAAGAAUCGGCUAAUACUACUGAAAGUGCAAUAUUUGAAUAUCACUGCGAGGUUGGUGCAUGUGCUAUUUAAAGAGUUACAUUCUUUCAGACUUAAUUGGAAACAGGUUAUUAGCAGAAAGCUAUUUUUUGUGUGUUUUUUUUAGGAGUUCUGUCACUAUGUUGGUUUGGUUGUAGUAUGAUGAAUUAAUAUUACUUGUGUUAUAGUUCUGUUUAACAGUACUUGUUUUAUAACCUUAGAGAGCCGGAUAUUAAUGUUUCUCUAUUCUAGUAAAAGUGUUGUGAUUUCAAUCCUUUUUUUCCCCCAAAGCUACGAGUUUCCUCAGUUUGUGUAAUCUCUGUUUAGCUUCCUUUCCAUCUUACUGCACAGUUGUUUUUUCUUCCUCUAAGUACUUGUAUUGCUGAGCUAUAUUCAUAGUUCUUACUCCUGUUAAUUGACUGAUUAGCUGUGUUAAAAGUGGGAGUGAGCUGUUGUGAGUGAACAGCACAGCCAGCUAGCUGUGGUCUAGUAUAUAACCAUUAUAUUUCAAGUCUGAGCAAGUCUUGUUUGUGCAUUAAUAUCUUGUAGGCUAUUCCUAGAAGUUUCUUAACAAUUCUGUGACAGUACUCCUGGUAGAUGUUUCUUAGAGAACAGUUUUGCGACAGUAAUUCCAUCUGUCUUUAUGUUUUUAUUCACUUACCAGAAUUGGUGCGUGUAGUUUUUUUGUUGCUGUUCUGUGCUCUGUUACAGCAUUGAACAGUUGUGGCAAUAUAACAAGCAUCUGGAAAGACUGCUGAUACAUUAUGCCAUGCCUUUCCCUCUACAGCAAAUCUUAGUGCCACCCUGAGGAGUAUCUCUCUCCUUGAACUUAAGUUGUUAGGCUUUAGUUGAUCGAAGCCCCACUACAUUGCUUUGUGCUAAAAUGAUAAAUUCUCCUUUAAACCCAGGGUGUUCAGAUGGCAUCGUGCAAUGAUGAUCUUUGAGCAAGAGAUAAUAGUAUUGUUCUAACACUAAGUUAUGCUGAACAUGUUUUUUAGGUAGAUUUUUGUUGUUUUCUGUAACUGAUGUACCUUUAGUCGUAACCUGUUACUUAAUGUCUUUGCCAUUGUCGCAGGGGAUGUAUGUGUGUUUGUGUACUCAGCCUGCACUGGAGGUGUGAAAAGACCAUUUUUAUCCAUGACUGACAAAAAGCGUUUGUCACACUGAUUUGAGCUUUCAUAAUAGGCAAGACCAUUAACCCAUUCUUCUGUGAAAAGGUUUAAUUAUAAGUCAUGUUCCUUUCCCACAGCCAUCUUGCAGUACUAAUUUAAUUUUGAAAACUAUUUCAAACUCUAGGGUGGCUUCAGAUGAAACACGUCAGCUGUUGUCUUCCACAGGGGCAUCUUCCUUUCUAUGGAAUGUCCUAGGGGUUGCCUUAUUCGAAAGAUGAGGGUUCAUAUGUGAUGCUGGCAGGGAGUCGUGCAGCUCUUAGCAGCUUGGUAUAGUGCUUUUUUCAAUUAGAUAUUCUGAGAAAAUGUGUCCUCUAAACAUAAUCUACUGCAUGAAAAAGGUGCAAUUCCUGUGGUCUUUGUCCAUUAAACAGUUUAGUCUGGGCAUAAGGAAAAUACUUCUUUGCUGGGUGCAAAUAAUAACACUGACACAAGGUUACCCAGAAAGGUCGUGGAACCUAGGUCACUGGAGGUUUUCAAGACUCAGCUAGACACCAGGAUGGCUGCCCUCACUUCUUGUUGGCAAGAGGCCUUUGCGGGAGGAAGGUGGACUGGAGUUUCCAACGGUUCUCUACUGGGGUCAUGUCUUUGAUUCAACGUAGUUUCAGAUACGUUGGUAUUUUACACCUAAUUGAGCAUGUAAUAGUAUUUAUGCCAGUUACCACUGUUCCAAGAUACCCCACAAACCUUGAUUCCUCAUAAUUGUAGAAUAGGAAUGCAGUAUUGAUUAAAAUUGACUGGGUAACUGCUUGUCUGUUACACUGUGGCUUAUCACACCACUCUUAACAGACAGUACUGCAUUUUUUUGUCUUGUUCUACAAUACCUUAUGUAACACAGUGCGUUACUUAACUCCAAAACAGUAUGAAUGCUGUGGCAAUAAAAAUUCAUCACCAAUUUGCUUGCGAAGCA
rnacentral:lncRNA from 1 species